AAAACAACUCUCAGCAACGGAUAUCUUGGCUCUUGCAACGAUGAAGAACGCAGCGAAAUGCGAUACGUAGUGUGAAUUGCAGAAUUCCGCGAAUCAUCGAGUCUUUGAACGCAAGUUGCGCCCGAGGCUUGACCAAGGGCAUCUCUGUCAGAGCGUCACC
rnacentral:rRNA from 1 species